CGCGAGCAGAGCCCGGCCCGGCCCAGCCCUGGCAGGCAGCCUUCUCCACUCGGAGACCUGCUGUCCGGUCCCCACGCGGCCCUGGCCCAGUUACCUGUCCUUCCUGUCGGUCAUUCAACCUGUUUUCCCUAGGCGGAGGACCCACUGCCCUCUGGCGGCCUCGCCUGCUCCCGCGCCGGAAAAGGAAUCCGGCCCGGGGAGGCUGCGAGCGCCCUGACGCCCCCUUCCGGGAGAUCAACCGCAGUCGGGGAAAGAGCUAAACAUCUGACUCCCGAAACUGAACGUCUUCCUCACGGCCAAGCCACCGGCCUUGGGAAGCCAACACCAGCAUGUAGAGCUUGCGACUGAGUCUCCCUCUGCUUCAUACCCCAAAGCUCCGGUUGCUGAUCCAUCCGGGAGGCGAGCUCGUCGCCUAGCAACAUGGGUAAACAUUGUUGCGCGCAUGCGCAGUGGGGGCGACUGAACGAGGCGCCAAUUUGUGAAGGCCCUGUGCCUCUCGACUCAGGAGAUGCCCUGCCUUACUCCCGAAGUUGCUGCUCUUGACUUGACUUUAAAAGGCUGGUACCUCUGUCAGGGAAAACAGUAGGGCUAUGGGAGGUGGAGGGUAUUGGAGUUUAUGAGCGUGUGUGUGUGUGAAGGACUAAAGGACCAUCGUGGCCCAGAGGCUCAAUUCUGAAAUCCUCGCUUUCACCUCCGCGGGUCGCCGGGGAUGGGAAGAGACAGAGAAACUGUGGAGGCCGAGGGAAGCGCUGCCCCGAUAACCAAGCCCUGGAGAAGCCCAGAGGAGUGGGAGAAAGGUGCCCAGAGACAGGAGGGCACGGGAGCCCAGCGGUGGGACCGCACCAGGAGGCGAUGCUGCGGAAGGGUCAGGAUUAAUCCAGGCGGGUGGUGGCAAGAUGAGACGCUGCCCAGGGAGCCAAGCACAGAGUGUCUUUCCUACCUGUGUCAGACUGCGAAGGUUUUAAAGAUGAAGUGAUCUUGAAAUUGUGUCCGCGUCAUUUAAAAGAUAAGUGGUAAAGCAAAUGUUUCAGUCACCUCCCUUCCUCCCCAUUUUCCCCCUUUCCUUUUCCUUCCUGCCUUUAUUCUUCUGUUCUUAAUGUGAAAGUUUAAAAUCCAAUCCAAUAGCAAUUUUUUAAAAGCAUAAAUAAUCUGAAACCCUCACUUGAUCUUUAAAUGAGCUGCAUCAACACUUGACUUUUACUCCCACCUAGUGGCAAGAAAGAACCUUGAGUCUAAGAGAAACAGUUAAACCAGUUUGCUUAGUAAUGUAUUUCGUAGUUAUUGGAGAAUACUUAAUUGCAUUUACUUUUUAUAUUUUGUAGACAAAGAGCUCUUAGAUAUAACACUCACUCAAGGUUCAUGGAAUCUACUUUGAAAAAAACCAAGAUUCCUCUGACUGAAAUGCUUUAUUUUUCAACUUGUAAUUUUAAAUUCGAACUACUUUACAAAUUGAUGCUCCCCACUAGGCAUGACACUGGUGGUUCAGUUUUUCUGCUACUCUUCAAAUAAUUGAAAGGAUUCAUAUUGGGCACAAACCCCACAUGUGUGAGCAAUGUGGAAGAACUUUCAUUUGUUCCUCUAAGUAUUGAAGACAGGAACUCAAAUGAAUGAGAAAGCUUCUGUAUAUAAGCAAUAAGGAAAAAUCCUUCAGAUGUUCCAGUUUCCUUUUUAAAAAAAUGAAAAAAAGGUUUAAAUGAAUAGAGUAUGUCGAGGAUUCCCUUAAAUACAAUACUUUUUCAAAAGCCCUCUGUUGGCCCACAUGGAAGAAUUAACACUGGAUAAAAUCCUCUGUCAAACAUUGGUCUUUUAAAAG
rnacentral:lncRNA from 1 species